rnacentral:lncRNA from 1 species
GUGAACUGCCCCUUCCUUACCAAAGCAGCUAUGUUUCCACACUCUGCUUAGAAAGCCAUUAGAUAGCCUUUCACCAGCCUAGGCCUGGGAAAAGGAAUUCGCUGUGCCGGAUCUUAGCCUCAAAUGGCUGCUAACCUUUAAAAGGAGGAUGAGAGCAGAGGAGUUGGUGGAACCUCGGGCACUUCUCGAGGUGGGUGCUUUCCUCAGAGAGCUUGCCUGUGUGUUCAUAAUGGUGUGUGGAACGCCUCUCAGGACACCGCUCUGAUGCUUUUCAGCCCCUUGGGGAAGAGGCCCUCACAGGCUAGUGUGAGUGGGUACCAUCUUGGAACAGUAGGGAAGUGGUAGCCAAGCA